rnacentral:lncRNA from 1 species
GGAUCACUGGAGGCAUGAGGGAUGCUUGGGAUGGUCCUGGAUCAUCACAUCUCCUUCAGGACAGUGUUAUUUUCCCUAGGCCUGUGACACAGCAGACUAUUGUCCAGCAACCCCCAGGGCUCAGUCCUUUUCUUUAAACAAUUAUUCAAAUAUUUUGUUGUAAACUCAAAUACUAUUUAUCAGAUGCAAUACUCAGUGACCCCUUAAUCAAAGCUCUGCAUAUUUAUGCCAUUAGAGUGACCUUGAUUUUUGCAUUUUUGAAUAGUUUUUUUAAAAAAUGGGAUUGAACCCAGGGCCAUUUUACCAAUAAGCUAUAUCCCCAGUUCUUCUUAUUGCUUAUUUUGAGACGAUGGUCUUGCCAAGUUGCUGAGGGCCUCACUAAGUUGUUAAGGCUGGGCUGGAACUUGGGAUCCUCCUAUCUCAGACUUCUGAGUUGCUGGGUUUACUGCCCAGCUAAUAUACUUUAUUUUCUAAAAGCAAUUUUAUAUUCACAGAGAAAUUGAGCAAGAAGUACAGAGAGUUCCCAUAUAAUCCUUGUCCUCACAUAUGCAUACCCUCCCAUUAUCAAAUCCUGCCUAGAAUGGGUAUAUUGUUAUAAUUGUUCAGUCUACAUUGACACAUCAGCAUCACCCAAAGUCCAUAGAUUCCCUUAGUAUUCACUCUUGGUGUAGUGCUUUCUAAGAGUUUUGACAUGUGUGUAGUGACAUGUAUCCAUCAUUGCAGUACACAGAGUAGUUUCAUUGCCCCAAAACUCUCCUGUGCUUUGCCUAUCUGUCAUCGCUUCUCUUCCACUAACUCCUGGCAACUUUUAAUUUUUCUUGCCAUCUCUCUGGGCUUAUCUUUUUCAAAUGUCAUGCAGUUGGAACCAUACUAGCCUUACACAGUGGCUUCUUUCAUGUAGUAAUAUGCAUUAAAUUUCUUUCAUGUCUUCUCUAGGCUUGAUUGUUCAUUUUUUUAAUUGCUGACUAAUAUCCCAUCCUAUAGAUGAACUAGAGUUUAUCCAUCCAUCUACCAAAGUACUCAUGGUUGCUUCCAAGUUUUGGCAAUUACAAAUAAAGGUGCUCUACACAUUCAUUUUUGUGGGGCUAUACAAUUUCAAUUCAUUUGAGUGAAUACCAAAAACUGUACAUUCAGUUUGUAAGAGAUUGCCAAAUUGUCUUCCAAAGUGGCAAUACCAUUUUGCCAGUAACAGAGUUCCUGUUGUUCCACAUCCUUAC